rnacentral:lncRNA from 1 species
GGGGCCCUGCCACAGGGACCGGGGACCACAAGGAAGAGAGAGGCAAGCAGAUCUCUGAGUUUACUAUGUGGCACUGGCUGGUCUGAAGCUCACUGUGCAGACCAGGCUGGUGUCAACCACAAAGACUGCUCGGCCUCAUAAAUGCUGGGAUUGAAGGUGUGCACCGCCACACUCGGCCAUUUCCGGAUAUUUGAAAUAACUUCAAGACAGAAAAGGAAGUAGAGCCUGUCAGCAGCGUACCUCAAAUCCCCUGGACUCAGUGCUGAAGUAGGAGGACCACAAGGUCUGUAAACAACUUAACAAUGCUGACUCAGAUGUCUAAAAGGAAACUGGGUGUAGUGAUGUGUGUGCGCCUUUACUCGCAGCACCUGGGAGACCAGGGGCAGAAGAAUCUGGUCUAAUGUACUUAAGUUCUAGGCCUGCCAGAGCUACACAGUAAAACCAAAACCAAAAAGGGGAAAGAGCUCAAGGCUCUGCUAUGGAGAAAACUCUUGCCCCAGGUAGUCGCAGGGUUCCUCCACCUCUGCCCCUCUGUCCUUAUAAGUCAGUCUGCCUCCAGCUUUGUUCAUGGUGAGCCACCCUGAGCUAUUCCCCAGCUCACUCCUCCCUUAGGCUCCUCCCAACUGCCGUUCUGUGUUUUGUGGGGCCUGCACCCAGCUAAAGAUGCUCCCUAGGCCUUCCUGGCCUGGUCCCUGGCAAGGCUUCCAAAUAAAAGAACCUGGAGAUCCAGGAAAAACAAUGUUCGGCUGUACUCUCAGCGCCUGGCCAAGGCCCAGUGUGGCCCCUAGCACUGAACUGUGAAGCUGGUUUCCCAUUAGUGAGAGUGGGCUGCACACGAGCAGCUGCCAGGGCUCUGCAAGGGCCCUACCC